CUGCUUUUCUCCAUCUGAACAGUCAUCAGAGCUUGUAUCUUAUCGGUGAUGGUGAAGGUAUGAAAACUUUCAGAAAUGCAAUGCAGCGUGGCUUCUGUGUCAGCCAUGGACCUCUCCAUCUCUGCUUCAUAAGAAGAGCUUUCUUCCUCUUCACACAGACACAGAUGAUGUGAGCAUGACCUCCUUGCAGCCUGGCUCAGCCCAAGAAAAGUGAAAGACAGCAAGACAGCAGCCAUGAGGGACAGAGGGAGAGAUGUCUGAAAAGUCCAUCUGCUUCCUUGCACAACCUUGAUUUCCAAUAUACUGAGUCACAGAUCAAAUGAAAGAAGUUCCUGGUAGACCUGCUGCCUCAGCCCACUUACAACAGGGAGAAGACUAAUUGCACUCUGCAAAGGACCCGCAGAAACUCCUGUAAGAGACAUCUUCUGUGAGAAAAGUACUUCCUGGUGGCCCACAGAUACUGUCCAGGCUACAGACUCUUCCCUCUUCCAUUUCCAACACGUAGCACGUACAAAGACCAGAAGUCAUCCUCCAGCAAGGACUGCUUUCUCCAAAGCUACACUCUGAGGAAGGAGACAUGAAAUUCCAUGAACUGCUAGCUCUUCAUUCAAGCCUGGAAUGCCAUUGUCCAUUACCUGAAAACUUGUCUCAAGAGACUUAACAAGAGAGCGAAGCUCUAAAAAUCCGUCUGCACAAAGCACCAGGCAGUGUGCAGCAGGAGACAACUCUGCUGCGCUUGGACUUGACACGCAACCUUUUCCCUCUUUGACUUCUGUUAUUUUAGGACAGUAAUCUGCUACACUCAGACCGCUGUCCUUGGCAGAGACUGAAGCACAGCUAACACAGUGAUGUCCUUGCUUAUAACUUGUAACACAGGGUAGGAAUGACAACUCAGAGCCUAGAUUAUGUGGAGCUCACUGCAAAAAAUAAUAUCCUUUUCUCUCAUUUUCUCCUCUCUGCCUCAAAGCAUUUGGCAUCAGCCUCAGCUUUUCUUGAUUGUGAGUACUGAAUGUGUCAGAGGUAAGAGAAAGCUCAGCCUGAUAGUGAUAUCUGAAAUGUUUUUCCUUUCCUCUGGAAAAAGGUUAAACUUUGGCAUAGAAACAGCACUGUGGAGCCCUUGCUUCAGUAAGAGCUUCUGUAAGUUUCUACAAGUAGCUGUUCUUUAGCAUGGCUGAUACCAGUCAGAAUGUAGUAUGAUUAGGAAAGUCAUGGGUUGCAUUGUGUGUGAAUAAAAUACAAGUGUACUUGCAAUGUGCUCACUUACA
ensembl:lncRNA